GCCAUAUCAGACCAUCAAACACUUUAAAACCUAUGUUAGGCUGAUAGAGGGUUUGAUGAGGUGCGACAUGGUUCUUAAACCCAAUUAAGAAGGACUCUCCAAGCCUUUUGACGCCAAAAGAAAAUUAUUGCCCACCAAAAAUCUGCACCAAGAUAUGAUAGAGUCCUUUUCUAUUUGGACUCUCUCAUUUCAAUGCCAAUUAGGGCCAUGUGGUGCCAUCUGAUGGUUGUCCACAUCAGAGAAGAACCCAAAUUAAUUUUCAAUUAAUUUAGUUCAUAAACUAAAUCAGGUUUGAAUCAAAACUGAUCAAAAUA
rnacentral:lncRNA from 1 species